CACGAAGUUAGCCGGGGCUUCUUCUCCCACUACCGUCAUUAUCGUCGUGGGUGAAAGAGCUUUACAACCCUAGGGCCUUCAUCACUCACGCGGCAUGGCUGGAUCAGGCUUGCGCCCAUUGUCCAAUAUUCCCCACUGCUGCCUCCCGUAGGAGUCUGGGCCGUGUCUCAGUCCCAGUGUGGCUGAUCAUCCUCUCAGACCAGCUACUGAUCGUCGCCUUGGUGGGCCUUUACCCCACCAACUAGCUAAUCAGACGCGGGCCGAUCCAUCGGCGAUAAAUCUUUCUGCUCUCGCACGUAUCCGGUAUUAGCCCAAGUUUCCCUGGGUUAUUCCGAACCGAUGGGCACGUUCCCACGCGUUACUCACCCGUCUGCCACUGCCCCCGAAGGACGCCGUUCGACUUGCAUGUGUUAAGCCUGCCGCCAGCGUUCGCUCUGAGCCAGGAUCAAACUCU
rnacentral:rRNA from 1 species